AUUGAACGCUGGCGGCAUGCCUUACACAUGCAAGUCGAACGGUAACGGGCCUUCGGGUGCCGACGAGUGGCGCACGGGUGAGUAAUACAUCGGAACGUGCCCGAUCGUGGGGGAUAACGAGGCGAAAGCUUUGCUAAUACCGCAUACGAUCUACGGAUGAAAGCAGGGGACCGCAAGGCCUUGCGCGGACGGAGCGGCCGAUGGCAGAUUAGGUAGUUGGUGGGAUAAAAGCUUACCAAGCCGACGAUCUGUAGCUGGUCUGAGAGGAUGAUCAGCCACACUGGGACUGAGAUACGGCCCAGACUCCUACGGGAGGCAGCAGUGGGGAAUUUUGGACAAUGGGCGCAAGCCUGAUCCAGCCAUGCCGCGUGCAGGAUGAAGGCCUUCGGGUUGUAAACUGCUUUUGUACGGAACGAAAAGCCUUCUUUUAAUACAGGAGGGUCAUGACGGUACCGUAAGAAUAAGCACCGGCUAACUACGUG
rnacentral:rRNA from 1 species